AUUAGGACAACAAGAAUUUUUGUUGAUAGAAGAGUAUUUUGUUUGAUUUUUUUAUCAAUAUAUUGUAUUUUUUAAAUAAAUUUUUCAAAAAUUCUAUUUUAGGAAAGUUUUCAUUUUUGUAGAGAAAUAUUGUACAUUUGGGAUUGUGGUUUAGAGAUUAGGACAACAAGAAUAUUUGUUGAUAGAAGAGUAUUUUGUUUGAUUUUUUUUAUCAAUAUAUCGUAUUUUUUAAAUAAAAUUUUCAAAAUUCUAUUUUAGGAACGUUUUCAUUUUUGUAGAGAAAUAUUGUACAUUUGGGAUUGUGGUUUAGUGAUUAGGACAACAAGAAUUUUUGUUGAUAGAAGAGUAUUUUGUUUGAUUUUUUUAUCAAUAUAUUGUAUUUUUUU
rnacentral:lncRNA from 1 species